rnacentral:rRNA from 1 species
CCUACGGGGGGCAGCAGUUAGGAAUCUUGGACAAUGGGCGAAAGCCUGAUCCAGCCAUGCCGCGUGAGUGAUGAAGGCCCUAGGGUUGUAAAGCUCUUUCGACGGGGAAGCGGUACCCGUAGAAGAAGCCCCGGCUAACUUCGUGCCAGCAGCCGCGGUAAUACGAAGGGGGCUAGCGUUGCUCGGAAUCACUGGGCGUAAAGCGCACGUAGGCGGAUUGUUAAGUCAGGGGUGAAAUCCCGGAGCUCAACUCCGGAACUGCCUUUGAUACUGGCGAUCUUGAGUCCGGGAGAGGUGAGUGGAACUGCGAGUGUAGAGGUGAAAUUCGUAGAUAUUCGCAAGAACACCAGUGGCGAAGGCGGCUCACUGGCCCGGACUGACGCUGAGGUGCGAAAGCGUGGGGAGCAAACAGGAUUAAUACCCUUGUAGUC